GACGAACGCUGGCGGCGUGCUUAACACAUGCAAGUCGAACGGAAAGGCCCUGCUUUUGUGGGGUGCUCGAGUGGCGAACGGGUGAGUAACACGUGAGUAACCUGCCCUUGACUUUGGGAUAACUUCAGGAAAUUGGGGCUAAUACCGGAUAGGGGCUCCUGCUGCAUGGUGGGGGUUGGAAAGUUUCGGCGGUUGGGGAUGGACUCGCGGCUUAUCAGCUUGUUGGUGGGGUAGUGGCUUACCAAGGCUUUGACGGGUAGCCGGCCUGAGAGGGUGACCGGCCACAUUGGGACUGAGAUACGGCCCAGACUCCUACGGGAGGCAGCAGUGGGGAAUAUUGCACAAUGGGCGGAAGCCUGAUGCAGCAACGCCGCGUGCGGGAUGACGGCCUUCGGGUUGUAAACCGCUUUCGCCUGUGACGAAGCGUGAGUGACGGUAAUGGGUAAAGAAGCACCGGCUAACUACGUG
rnacentral:rRNA from 1 species